rnacentral:tRNA from 2 species
UCCGGGGUAGCUCAGAGUAGAGCACUUGGCUGCGGACCGAGAGGGCGCUGGUGCAAUCCCAGCCCCCGGAC